AUACCCUAUUAUUUUUAAUGUAAAAUUUUAAAGCUAGAGUAUUAAUAGUUAUGAUCUUUAAACUUAAAGAAUUUGGCGGUAUUAUAGUCUAUUUAGAGGAAUCUGUUAUGUAAUCGAUAGACCACGUUGAACCUUACUUAUAUAAUUUUUUUUGUAUAUCGUUGUUUAAGUGAAUAUUUUUAGAUUAAUUUUCUUAAUAUAUAAAUAAUUAGAAUUUCAAAUCAAGGUGCAGUAAUAUAUAAGUUGAGUAAUGGAUUACAAUAAAUUAUAUUUAAAUGAAUAAUUAUUGGAAUAAUAAUUUGAAGGUGGAUUUAAUAGUAAUCUUAUAAAGAUUAAUAAGUUGAUUAAAGCUCUAUAAUAUGUACACAUCGC
rnacentral:rRNA from 1 species